rnacentral:rRNA from 1 species
AUUGAACGCUGGCGGCAGGCCUAACACAUGCAAGUCGAGCGAGAGGCGGACGGGUGAGUAAUGUAUGGGGAACUGCCCGAUGGAGGGGGAUAACUACUGGAAACGGUGGCUAAUACCGCAUACUAUCGGAUGCACCCAUCUGGGAUUAGCUAGUCGGUGGGGUAACGGCUCACCAAGGCGACGAUCUCUAGCUGGUCUGAGAGGAUGACCAGCCACAAGGGGACUGAGACACGGCCCAGACUCCUACGGGAGGCAGCAGUGGGGAAUAUUGCACAAUGGGCGCAAGCCUGAUGCAGCCAUGCCGCGUGUAGGAAGAAGGCCUUAGGGUUGUAAAGUACUUUCAGCGGGGAGGCGGUACCCGCAGAAGAAGCACCGGCUAACUCCGUGCCAGCCGCCGCGGUAAUUC